CAUUUAGAAUGUAAUACAGUGCACAAUUACCGAUGAAAAAUUAUUUAGGCCAUACCGAGCACAUGCCGUCAAAAUGUGAUGACGUCACGGCACCUUGGCGCGUGAACCGCACCCGUCUUUCAUGCUCGCGGCUUCUCCGGCUAAGCAGGCUACCUCUCACGAAAGCAAUGUUUCUUUCUACCGUUCGUUACGGCGUGCAUCAUAAUAACACCGCGUUUUGGCGCGUAACAUUCCAGUUUUUUUAAUAAGCGUGCCGGUAACUGAGUUUGCCUGAGAACAUCCGGUCCGUCAGUUUUGCAAAUGGCGAUUGGAAAGCGAUGGGCGUCACUCCGCUACUUUGCCUUCAGCGAUGUAGGCACUGUAUUGUUUUUUUUUUUUCGUAUUUUAGCAGUGUUUUACGUGACGACAAAUUGGCGACGCCAGCGCAAGAUGAAACGUGCAUUAGAAAAAACUGCGGUACCCAGCCGGCGUUUAUGUAAGGGCCCGUAGCACUAUUGGCAUUGGGCGGAACCAGAAGUUUGACGGUGUGUGUGGGGUGGGGUCCUCGAGCCGUCUGCCGUGCCAGUCUCCGGCGCCACCACGUGUUCUCCUAGCCAGGCCAUUCGGGUUAACUCGGCUCGGUUGCCUAGGAAACGGCUCCCCAUGCGCCGUGCCGUGUGAGAGUGGCAGAACGCGAUCGGCGGCUGUCUGCGGACGACGUGGCUGCAGGUGGGAACUAUCCCGUUUCCUGUCCUGCAAGAUCCUUCUGAGCUCAUCGCUAGUUAUAGGAGGAGUUUCUGUAUCCUGUUCAUGGCUGUUUCUAAUUGAGGUAUCCUGACUCCUUUGGGUACUGUACAGGUUAACUCCGCUCGGUUGCCAAGGAAACGGCUCCGCAUGCCCAGUGCCGUGUGCGAGUGGCAGAACGCGACCGGCGGCUGUCUGCGGACGACGUGGCUGCAAGUGGGGUGUGCCUGCUGUGGGAUCCCCGAGCUGCAUGCCGUAUCAGUUUCGCUGCUCCACCAUACGUCCUCCUGUAGCCAGGCCAUCGGGAGGUUAACUCUCUGCUCGGUCGCCUAGGAAACGGCUCCUCAUGCGCCAUGCCGUGUGAGAGUGGCAGAAUGCUGUCGGGGCCUGGCUGCGGUCGACGUGGCGGCAAGUGCGGUGUGCCUGCUGUGGGAUCUCCGAGCUGCAUUCCGUGUCUGUUUCCGGCGCCACCACAAGUCCUCCUAUAGCCAGGCCAUCGGGAGGUUAACUCUACUCGGUCGCCUAGGAAACGGCUGGUCAUGAGCAAUGCCGUGUGAGAGUGGCAGAAUGCUGUCGGGGCCUGGCUGCGCGGACGACGUGGCUGCAAGUGCGCUGUCAUCAUUCUUGCCAGAAAAAGUAGGAAAACAGGAUACCUUCAUUCGUCCAUACCAACGAUUUGGUCUUGCUCCUUAAACGUGAACGUUUUAGCCAUGGGACAACCGAACACCCUUUGUAAACCCAUAAAGCGCACUGCAAAGGAGGACACCAGAGUGCGAGAACAAGCCCACGUACAGUGAUCGACAAGGAUACGGCGAAAACAUGCAGUUCAUCGCAGCCGUGGCAGAUGGUUCCAUCCGUUCCCUAGGAGUCGAAUCAACAUGUUUUGAGUGACGUCACCGCAGACGACACCGACUUCAGAUUUAUUGUGGACGAAACGAGACAGGUGCAGGAAGGUGCGCUGCUUGUGGCAUCGCCGAAACUGGAGCCGUGUUCCGUGUCGGCGCCACCAGGUGUCCUCCUCGCCAGUUCAACAAGACAACAAGGAGUGCGUGGAGCCGACUACCGUGCGAGUCUCGGCGCCGACAGACGUCCUCCUAGAAAGCUGAAGCAGGCGAGUGCAGCCGUGUUCACGUUUUAAGGUGUGCGUGGCGUUGGAUCCUCAAGCCGGCCUCCCGUCAGUCCCGGCGCCAGCAGACGUUCUCCUGCCGGCCAAUCGAGAGGAGAUUACAGUAUACCGGACAUGGCAAGAUGCAGCAACUAGGCACUCAGGCUUCAUCCACCAAGAGGGCUGCUCCGCACAUAUUGGACGCAUUCGUGAAAACAGGUUCUGUCCCAGGGAGUACUUCCAAGAGUUGGGCAUGAUUUGGUCUACGAUGCCCAUAACCUCCGGAAUUCUCCCGGACGAUAAUAAAGCAAUGAAACAAAGCCUUCUAUGCGGCGCAAACAAGCAUAAAAGCCUUGGCGCACGCAAUGAGCACUUCCAGUUGUCGAA